rnacentral:rRNA from 1 species
GCCUACGGGGGGCAGCAGUGAGGAAUAUUGGUCAAUGGGCGCGAGCCUGAACCAGCCAGGUCGCGUGAGGGAUGACGGUCCUACGGAUUGUAAACCUCUUUUGCCGGGGAGCAAGCGUGCGUUCGUGAACGCGCGUCGAGAGUACCCGGAGAAAAAGCAUCGGCUAACUCCGUGCCAGCAGCCGCGGUAAUACGGGGGAUGCGAGCGUUAUCCGGAUUUAUUGGGUUUAAAGGGUGCGUAGGCGGGCUGUUAAGUCAGCGGUAAAAGCCCGGGGCUCAACCCCGGCGAGCCGUUGAAACUGGCUG